AAAAAGUUCAUUCAAUAUUUAACAGUUAAUGCCGUUUUCUAUAUUAACAGACACAAAAAGAAACAAGAAAAACCACAUGAUCAUCUCAAUAGAUGUAUACCAAGUAUUUGACAAAAUUCAAUAUCUAUUUAUUAUAAAAAUCUCUCAACAACAAAGAAUAGAAGGGAAUUUUCAACCUGAUAUAGCAUCUAAGAUAAUUCACAGUUAACAUCACAGUUAAAAUACAUUUUACAUCAUAACAUUUACAUCAUACAUGUAAAUGACCUAAUGCCUUUUUUCCUAAGAUUAGGACUAAAGCACAAAUAUCUGCUUUAUCUACCUUUAUUCAACGUAUUACUGGAAGUUCUAGCCAGUGAAAUAAAUAAAGGUAACAGAAUAUAAGUUGAAAAGAAAGAAGUAAAACUGUCUAUAUUCUCAGAAGAUAUGAUCAUCUAUGUAGAAAAUCUUAAAGAAUCUACGAAAAACUACUAGAACUGAAGUAGGGAGUUUAGCAAGGUUGAAGAAUACCCAAUCAGUAUACAAAAUUGAUUGCAUAUUCAUAUAUUAGGAACAAACAACUGGAAAUUGAAAUUUAAAAACCAAUAUCAUUUAUAACCACAUCAAAAACAAUGAUAUACUUAAAGAUAAAUUUAGCCAAGAAUGUAUAAGACUUGCACACUGAAAACAGUAAGACAUUGGUGAAAAAAAACUAAAGAAGACCUAAGAAGAUGAAAUUAUACAUAUGUGUGUUGGAAGACUCAAUAUUUUUAAGAUGAUAAUUCUUCCCAAAUUAACGUAUAGAUUCAAUGAAUCCUAAUCAAAAAUACUUGCAGGAUUUUUUACAGAAGUUGACAAGCAGAUUCUAAAAUUCAUAUGGAAAGGCAAAGGAUCUAAUCUAGCCAAAAAUUUUUGAAGAAGUUUAAAAUUGGAAAUCUCACACUAUCUGAUUUCAAGGCUUAUAAUAUAAUGCUACAGUAGUCAUGAUAGUGUCAUAUUGUGUAUGAAGAGAUAUAUCAAUCUAUGGAACACAAAAGAAAGUUCAGAAAUAGCCCCACACACACUGCCUGUAGUCCCAGCUACUCAGGAGGCUGAGGCAGGAGAAUUGCUUGAACCCGGGAGGCAGAGGUUGCAGUGAGCCAAGAUCAUGCCACUGCACUCCAGAUCAUGCCACUGCACUCCAGCCUGGUGACAGCGCAAGACUCUGUCUCAAAAAAAAAAAAAAAAAGCCCCACAUAAAUAUGGCCAAUCGAUUCUUUGCAAAAAUGUCAAGGUAAUUCAUGAGAGAAAAAGUCCUUUCAACAAAAUGUGCUAUAAUGGUUGAAUACACAUAUGCAAAAAUGACUUUCACCAUGGCCUCACAUCAUACACAAAAUUAAUUUGGAUUGGGUCAUAGACAUAAAUGUAAAACUAAAAGUAUGAUGCCUCUAGAAAAAAAUGAAUGAGAAAAUCUUUGUUGCCUUGGGAUAGGCAAAGCCACUGUUAAAAAAAAAAAUGAAAACGCAAGCCACUGCAAUUACUGAAAGAAAACAUUUGCUAAAUGUAUAUUCCAUAAAGAAUUUCUAUUCAGAAUAUAUAAGAGAACUCUUAGAAUUCAAUAAGAAGACAAACAACCUGAUAAAAAUUUGGGUGAUGGGUUUUAAUAGAUGUUUCCCCAAAUAAGAUAUAUAAAAAUGAUAAAUAUAUGAAAAGAUGAUCAAUCUAGUUAUUGGGAAAUUAAAACUACAGUAAGAUACCAUGACCCAACACUAGAAUGGCAAAAAUUUAAAAUACAAAUGCCAAGUGUUUAUGUAGAUGUAGAGUAACUGGGACCAAAAUCCUAGGUCUCUCUCUUUCUUUCUCUCCCUCUCUCCAUAUAUAUAUAUAUAUAUAUAUAUAUAUAUAUUCACAUAUCCACAUAAAUAUCUGCAUUUAAAUAUUUAUACCAGACUUAUUAACAAUAGCCAAAAAUCAUAAACAACCCAAUUGUCUACUGAUGACUAGAUAAAUAAGCUUUACCAUAAGCAUUCAGUGGUAUGCUCUAACAAUAAAAAAUAACAAACCGUUGAUAUACAUAAUGACAUAAAUAAACCUCAGGAGAGUCAAGCUAAGUGAAGGAAGACAGACAUAAAAGACUAUAUACUGUACAAUCUCAUUUAUAUAAAAUUCUAGAAUAGGCAAGAGUAUAGUGACAGAAAACAGAUUGAUUUUUGCCAAGGGCCAGAGGAGGCGGAGCUUGCAGCCAGCCGAGAUGCGAGGUGGCGCC
rnacentral:lncRNA from 10 species